UACAGAGGGGGCAAGCGUUGUUCGGAAUUACUGGGCGUAAAGGGCGCGUAGGCGGCCUGCUAAGUCGAACGUGAAAUCCCUGGGCUCAACCCAGGAACUGCGUCCGAUACUGGUUGGCUUGAAUCCGGGAGAGGGAUGUGGAAUUCCAGGUGUAGCGGUGAAAUGCGCAGAGAUCGGGAGGAACACCCGUAGCGAAGGCGGCGCUCUGGGCCGGUACUGACGCUGAGGAGCGAAAGCGUGGGGGAGCAAACAGG
rnacentral:rRNA from 1 species